CACGUAGGGGGCAAGCGUUGUCCGGAUUUAUUGGGCGUAAAGAGCUCGUAGGCGGCUCAGUAAGUCAGGUGUGAAACCUCCAGGCUCAACCUGGAGACGCCACCUGAUACUGCUGUGGCUAGAGUCCGGUAGGGGAGCGUGGAAUUCCUGGUGUAGCGGUGAAAUGCGCAGAUAUCAGGAGGAACACCAGCGGCGGAAGGCGGCGCUCUGGGCCGGAACUG
rnacentral:rRNA from 1 species